rnacentral:tRNA from 1 species
AGGGAUAUGGCUUAAGCAGUAGAGCACCUGCGUAGCAAGUAGAAGGUCCUGAGUUCAAAUAUCAGUAUUGCCA